CCAAAGUCAGCAGGAGGAAGUAGAAAUGAGACAGAGGCCUCUGUCUCCUAAUCUUUUCCAUAGGCUACUGUUUUCUUUCUUUUCUCAUGAGGAAAAAUGAUAAAAGCAAAAUAAACAAAUUAGCUACCACUUAUGAAAAUCCCCAGGAAAUUCCUUUUCCAGAGUUCUCACUUACUAAUUUGGCUAACAUUACCAAUGGUAACAGACCCCACGUAUCCGCCACAAUUGCUGUGAGUUGCAGAGGAAAAAGACUGGGAGGAAAUCUUCACUUUUCUUCUGCAACAGCAACCAACAGAAAUGAAAGAGCCAGGGGAUUUUGCAAAAUAUCAACUCCUGAGAACUAAGAAUGAGAGCCUUUCCUGCCAAGCCCAUUCUGUGCCAGUCAUCAUAAAAUACUGGAUUCUAUAGCACAUCCUUGAAUUGUGUUUAUCCAAUCCACAUUUCUCUUCUGCUGGACAUUCAGAGGACUGUUUCUCACUAAUAUCAGGAGAAAUCUGUCUUGGUGUUGGAGCCUCUUGGAAUUCGUGACAAGGAAAAAAGUACACCAAGUAAACUAGUAAAACAAAAGUGAGAAGGCCCUUGACAGAUGUGAGCCCCUUGACCUUGGACUUCCCAGCCUCAAGAACCACAAGCCAAAUAAAUUUCUGUUCAUUAUACAUUACCUAGUCUCUGGAAUUCUGUUAUAAGCAGCACAAAACUGACUAAGACAAGUAAUUUUAAUUUUUAAGGUACUCUCUCUUAAAUUUCAAAAAAUGGCCAUAAGGUUUUUAAGCCCAUGGGCUUUGGUAUCAAACAGAUGUAGGUUCAGUCUCAGAUUUGUCAUUUAUUAAUCAUGAUUUUGGA
rnacentral:lncRNA from 1 species